rnacentral:lncRNA from 1 species
UAGACAGGGAGAAUUUUGGGGAGAAGAGAGAGAAGGUCAAAUGACUUCUCCACACCCUUGGCAGCCUUAGAAAGCAACAAGUAAGAGACUGGGCCAACAAGUACAGGGACGGUGUCAACACCAAGCUGCAUAAACAUCAAGCUUAUCGGAUCAGAACUUUAGAUAGAAACUACUUUUGGUGCACAAAAGACAACCAGCGUCAAACUAAUCUUUAACAACUAUUCUAUCAACCGGUUGUAUUUUGUGAGUAAGCAAGCGAGUAUAUUCUUAACGUAUCAACAUCUUCUGUGAAAACCAUUCAAUAUAUCUAAAUUCAAACACUGAAUCCACGAACCCAAGUCUAUGAUCUCCAAUAAAUAGUUAUUUAUUAGUAAAUGGAUGAUAAUAAUAAAGAAAGAUACUUACAGCCUUGGCCUCCUUGUACUCAUUCACAGCCUUGUGAGAUGCGUAAGAGAACUUAACGUCAGGGCCCAACUCAGGAACAAUGUAAUGGCUGCACCAAUUAAACAUCAUUACAUUUUUCCACAACUAAGAAAAACAAACAACGUCACUGCAAGACUGCAAGAUCAGAGUUGGAGACUCACUAGUUGGUGUCAAACCACUUGGUCAUCUCCAUGGCGGGAACAGAGGCGUUACCUCUAGCCAUGGAGAAGUAAACAUCCAAACCGAUCUCACCACUGGUGUAACCGUAUCUGGGUGGAACAGCACCGAGCAUGGCGGUGGUGUCGAGAACCUGGUCGUAGUGAGCAAAGGUGUUGCUGGGGAUGUACUUGGUCCCAGCCUCAGACAUCUGCUUCCAGAUGUUAGCCCUGAGAUCAGCGGACACCUUCUGAAGAUCCUCAGCAGUGCUCUUUCCAUCCCAGAAUGAUUCCAAUGCGAACUUGAGCUCUCUCUUAGGGCCCAUACGUGGGUAUCCAACAAUGUGUGACGCCAUUUUGAUUUCUUUUUUUUUACUGCAUCAAACACAAACCAAAUCAAGAUCAGUAUCAAAUAGUAAAAUACAUUCUCUCUUUCAUAACUUUGUUAAUAUAAUAAUAAUAAAUAAGUUUCAUACUCCAAGAAAGCUGCAACUACAGUUCACGUGUUAACAAAUUAAAAUAAAAUAAAAUCGAAAAGUAGAGCUAUAGCAGCUUUUGUCGUAUUAAUGAUUGAAUGAGUCCACUUCAAAGUAGAAUCGAAAACUUUUAGAUCAAAAUCACAUGCAACAUUUGAUGAUGAUUCAAAGCGGAUCUAACACAGACCAAUGAUCAUUUUCGAACGAUGAAUAUAGAUCGCAGAUCAGAUCCAGAUCUACAGAUCGACCGACACCAAAAAAAAAAAACUCAGAUCUGCAAAUGAUGAGCUCUCUCACCGUUUAGAUCUCAGUGAUAAACACGCAAUACGAACAAACGGAUCGGGGAGGAAUGAGCUAAUAUAUUUGAAUUUAAAAAAAUCACACUCGGUAAGUAAUAAACAAUAACGUGGAGACGAAAACGAAAUGAGAAGGGGAAGGGAGCUAAAUAAGGGAGACGUGGGGAAGCCAUAAAAUCUCGGAGACGUACCUCACGGAGGAAGAAUCGGAGAAAGAGGUUUGGCUACGAUGAAGAGAGAGCGAGGAAGGAGAGUGGCUCUGUGAGUUUAUUUAUAGAUACAAUCGUUGGGCUCUGUGUGAUGUGUAGAUCUGGUGGUGGAUAUUUUAAGCAAUAAUCAUAUAUUUCAACAUUUUAUUUUAUUUAGUUUUUCUCUCAUUUUCUUUCUUUCUAAUACGGCUAUUUAUGUGUUCUGAUUUUCUGAGAUCAUUUUCUAAUUUUCUUACCAUAAUUAAGAAAAUUAAUUACUUUUAGAUUGUAAAAGUAAAACUAGACCAAAAAAGGAACAUGUAUGGACGGAACUAUGAGCAAUUUUAUUUGUUCUUCAAUGUAUUUUUAGCUAGGUAUGUAUUUUUAUUUUUUAGCCUUAAGCAUUUAAAAUGUUAACAGUUUAUACAUGGAUACUUGGAUUAUUUUUUAAGAACGAACUUUUAGAUGAUAUCUUAACGAAUUGACAGGAAUAUCGUAAUUACAAAUUUGUAAAAUACCGGUAAUGGUAUUAAAUAUUUUCAUUAGUAAAGCUAAAUCAUUUUUACAGCAGUAAAGUCCAAUCAUUUAAUUAAAACGUAUUUAUAAAAGUAUAUUAAAGCGAUUAAAUAGAGGAUUAAAACGUGAAGGGGAGUUGGUGUCUACGUAUAUGAGGGAUUAGUAGUAGUGGGUCCUACGGAGGUUGGUGGAGAUUCACAUUUCACAGUGAAGUUUCUGUUAAAUACGGCUGCGUUUAGUGUCGGCCCGAAGAGUAUCGACAUCGAGGCCUGUUCCGCAGUGUUUUGAAAACCAAGUUGGAGUGGUUAUUGAACCUGAUUAUUUUUGAUGAAUUUGAUUUUUUGCUUCAAUACUUUUUGGAAUGUUAUUAUUAGAUUCAUACAAGUUAAAUUUUCGCUAGUUAACAUGUAACUAUUUCGAUGAUGGUUCAUUUUCCUCUUUAUACAGUGGUCAGUAAAUACUAGUAGUAUUCAUCUUUUUUUUUUUGGAUCAAACUAGUAGUAUUCAUCUAUCACCCACCAAUAAAAGCUUAGGCAACUGAGAUAAACUGGAUCAAAAUAUUUUGGUGGAUGAAUAUAGUAGUAGGUAAUGAAAGGGAGAUUAUGGAUCCAUGAUGUAUAUGUUAUUGUUUUAAGAUUCAUAAACAAAGUGAUGAGUGCUCUUUUACCAAAAAAAAAAAGAAAAAAAAAAAAAAAGAAGUGAUGAGUGGUCUUCAUCUUGUUGUUUGCUUUGAUAAUUCGGCCACCAAACAUUGAUUCUAUUAACGUCAUCGCUUCCCUUGAUUACAUGGUAAUUAUCCUUCUCGUCUUAUUUUACUGAAUUUUUGGGUGUAUUUUGAAUAUUAGUGAUAUUCACAAGACUCAACAGUCCAUAUCACAUACUGCUAAUAGAUUACGAAUAUAAUAUUUAUGCACAGUGAGAUAAGUAUGUUAUAUCUUAUACCAGUCGUUAAUCCUCAGUUUUAUUACGCAACUCAAAGUCUAACCUAUAGAAUAGCACAUACACUAGUUGAUUAUUAAUUAUAAAGCUCUUUUGCGUGACUUGUAAGAUUAUUCUAAGUUCAACAACUAGUUUGGAACUGUGUAGGUCUAUUUUAAGAGAUGACGUUGUUGCAAACUCAGAAAACAGUCAACAAAGUGCUGCUUUUCCUUACGGACGCCAACAAAAUGCUUAUUAAAGACUGUUUGACACAAUAUGGAUACUAAAUUAUAGGCUAACUAUAUAGUUUGUAUUAGUUUUAUUACUAGCAAUUGUCAAUCGCACGGCAUAAGUUUAACAGCAGUUACAUGUGACUUUACAAGAAGAUUUGCAUAUGCAUCCUUAAAGUUGUUUUGUCGGUGGAUUUAGAUCUACCAUCAUAAUAACAGCAAAAGUCGUACGAGCAUUUAAUGAAAAUUCUCCUUUUCUUUUUUCAUUUUCAUUUUAUUGUUCUGCAACCUAAACAAGUAAUACCAUAAUCAAGCUCAAACGAAAAAAAAAGAAGAAGAAGAUCUGUAAUAUACUUUAUGAAAUUAUUGAACUAAUUCGUAUGCGAAUUGUGAAAAUUAUACGACUUAUGAUAUAUGGUGUACGCAUCCCUUUUUUUUUGCCAUCUUGAGUUUGGUAGAUCGUUUAGUAAACGAAUCACAAGAUCCAAAAACAUCCUUAUUGCUGGCUUAUUAAACUUUGUGAUUAAACUAUGAUAAAGGAAUGCUUUUAGGCAUGUGACAUAUUACAUGAUUACAUAUGCAUUAUGAUUUGAAUUGAAAUAUGAUAAUUUAAAUAAUUUAUAAAUCUUUUGUAAUGUAUACAUGCUAAUUUAAAGAACACAAAGACUAAGAAAUUAUUCAUCUAAUCUCAAUCACAAGGCUCCAUGUUAAAAGUGAGUAAAACAUGAAAAUGAAAGCCAACCACUUUUUAGGUAGAGUCCAUUCUUAUAGAUUACACAAUGCUAACCCUAUAGCUAGAGUUGAAAAGAACAACGAUGUAGAGCAACUCUACCUUUUAGACAAUGUUCAAAGAAGAAUCCAAACAUCAAUAAUUUCUGGAAUAAAAUUUAGGAGACUAACUUCUUAGCCUUGUAUUCUCUGCGAACUCUCCUGAGCUCUACAGUCUGGGGGAAGGAUCCAAUGGUGGUGGUUGGCAGGAUUGGGAGGUUAAGCUUCUUCUGCUGAGCAUCUAACCUAGCGCUAACAUUAGUUGCACGACGGUGGUCUGAGCCCUUCAAAGCAGCAGCCUGAGAUAACAAAUCAGAAACCAUCUCGAUCAAUAAAUGCUAAGGAGAAAUCAGUGACUGUGGAGAUGGCUGAGGUUUGCGCCAAACUUACAGCCUUCUGGACACCCUCGUUGGUGACUCUUGGGGAAGACCUCCUUGAAGCCAAAGCAGCAGCGUUGGCGGAGAAAAGGGCCUGAAAGGGAAUACAAUAUUAGCAUUCUAGUGUUUACUAAAUCAUUUACAUUGCAAAACUAUUCAAGGAUUUAAUAAAGUAGGUGGAUAAAAUUUCUACCUCAUCCUUCUGACCAGCCAAAGCCUUGGCCAGUGCGUUCACUUCAACGAUCUUCUGGGCAGCAAACGCCAACCAUGACUUGAUUUCGUCGUCAAGCUUGGUCUCGUUUACAAGAUCGACAGCGGUGUGGAGAAGAGAGCAGGAGGUUGAGACCACAAGCUUGUCUGAAUCAAUGCAGAAAGAUAACAGAUCAACGUUUGAAAUAUUUGUUUAGUAUAUUUUCGGGUGACUCAGGUAAAAGGCAGGCGAUUCUGGAAGCACUUAUUUACCUUUUCCAACAACACCCUCAAGUGCCUCCAAGGUGCUGAGAGACGCAGCAAAGUCAUUGGCCCAGAUGUUCCUUCCAUCAACAACACCAGCGAAGAGGUACUUUCCCUCGGGGAAACCAGCCUUGACUAAAUCAAGGGUCUUUGUGCCACGAACCAAGUCAAAUCCAAAGGCAGUCACACCCUUCAACGAAGUUAGGGUCUUGUAUGCUUCAGCAGGGAUAUCAGCGAAGUAGGUCUCAACAAGAACAUUCAAACCAGACAGAGUUGAUUCAAGUUCAGCAUAAGCCCCAGUGAGGGCCUGGAGUUUGUGGCCCUCAAGAUCCAUGACAAGGACAGGCUCGUCAAGCUGAAUCCAGGUGGCACCAGCUGCCUUAAGCUCUGUGAUCACUUCCCUGUACACAAAUCAAAGUCAUAAUAUCAGUGACAUGUUAGACGAUCAUUCAUAACUAAAAUAAAAAGGAAGUGAUUUCUUACUUGUAGACAGGGAGAAUUUUGGGGAGAAGAGAAAGAAGGUCAAAAGACUUCUCUACACCCUUGGCAGCCUUAGAAAGCAACAAGUAAGAGACAGGGCCAACAAGUACGGGGACGGUGUCAACACCAAGCUGCAUAACAUAAAGUUUUAUAGGAUCAGAACUUCAGAAUAGCAAUCUAGCAGAUGAAAGAAAGAAACCUACUUUAAGUGUACAAACGACAAUUAGCAGAAGAACAAGAAACUACUUUAGGUGUCAAAACACAACCAGAGUCAAAUUAAUUUAUAUCAGCUAUUCUAUCAAGUAACUGGUGUUUAUGAAUGUGCAAGUGAGUAUAUUCUUAAUUCAUCACUUGUCUAUGUGAUUAUGUGAAACAGCGUUCAGUGAAUCUAAGCUCAAACAGUAAAUCCUGGAACCAAAGCCUAUUAUCUCUAAUAGAUUAGUCCUAAAGCAGACUGUAAAAUUCAUAAGAAAUUGAAAAUAGCGAAGAAUAAUACGUACAGCCUUGGCCUCCUUGUACUCAUUCACAGCCUUGUGCGAUGCGUACGAAAAGUUAACCUCAGGGCCCAACUCAGGGACGAUGUAAUGGCUGCAUCAACAAAACAUCAUUACAUUAGUCCAAUAUUCAAAAAAAAAAGCCCAACUAACAAUGUCGCUGCAAGGGAGACGAGACUCACUAGUUGGUGUCAAACCACUUGGUCAUCUCCAUGGCGGGAACAGAGGCAUUUCCUCUAGCCAUGGAGAAGUAAACAUCCAACCCAAUCUCACCACCGGUGUAACCGUAUCUGGGUGGAACAGCACCGAGCAUGGCGGUGGUGUCAAGAACCUGAUCGUAGUGAGCAAAGGUGUUGCUUGGGAUGUACUUGGUCCCAGCCUCAGACAUCUGCUUCCAGAUACCCGACCUGAUAUCAGCAGACACCUUCUGAAGAUCCUCAGCAGUGCUCUUCUUAUCCCAGAAUGACUCCAACGCGAACUUGAGCUCUCUCUUGGGGCCCAUACGUGGAUAUCCAACAAUGUGCGACGCCAUUUUUGAUUUUCUUUAACUGCAACAAACAAAACAAACAAGAUCAAUAUCUCAUAUUUAAAUAAAAGAUUUAUUAAUAUAUAUAAUAAUAAGGCUAAGUUACUGACUCCAAGAAAGCAGCCAACAACAGUUCACGUGUACGCAAAAAAAAAAAAUAUCGAAAAGUGUAGCAGCUUUUUGUCGUAUUAUAUGAUUGAGAUAAACGAGACGAGUCCACUUCAGAGUGGAAUUUGAAAAGUUUUAGAUCAGAUCACAUGCAACAUUUUAUCACUAGGAGAUGAUCUAAAGCGGAUCUAACACACACGAGCUCAUAACGACGACCAUUUUCAAUAGAUCGCAAAUCAGAUCGAGAACCAGAUCUACGAAUCGAAUAACACUAGAAACUCAGAUCUGUGACUGAUGAAGUCUCUCACCGUUUAGAUAUACACUACGAACAAACAGAUCGCGGAGAAAUAGAACCAAAUAUGAUAUUCAAAUCUAAUCACAGUCGAGAGAGUAGUAAUAACAAUAACAACAACGUGGAGACGAAGAACGAAAUGAAUAACGAAGGGGGAAGCUAGCUAAAUAAGGGAGAACGUAGGGAAGGUAGAGAAACUCGGAGACGUACCUCACGGAGGAAGAAUCGGAGAAGAGAAGAAGAAAGGGUUGGCUACGAAGAAGAGAAGGCGAGGAAGGAGAGUGGGCUUGCGAGUUUAUUUAUAGCAAAAACAAAUAAUGAUAGAUCGUUGGGCUCUCUGCAUUAUUGUCUAGAUCUGGUGGUUGAUAUUUUCGGCAUUUAUCAUUUAUUUUUCAUUUUAUUUUCUUUUUACGGCUAUUUAUUUGCAUUUAUUUUCCUACAAUAUAUUUUCUUACCAAAAGUGUGGAAAAUUAAUAAGUAUGAAUAAAGCUAGUAAAUACGAUUCUAUCAGUACUACAACAUACCUAUCACCUUUUCAUUUUAUUUUCCCACAAUAUGUUUUGAUUUCAGAAAAAAAACAGUCACUAAUUUUCUUUAUUUGUCUCCCUCACCACAUAUUAUUUAUAAUUAAAUCAUAUAUAUACUCGAAUACUAAAUAAAAUAAAUUCAUAUAAAACUUAGUUAAAAAAAUUAUUAGUAAUUUAUGUUCUUCAAUGUAUUUUAGUUGCGUAUGUAUUUUGGCUUGAAAUUUAAAAAUAUGAACAAAGUAAUAUAUGGUUCACUAAAACGGAUCUUUAGAUAAUAUCUUAACUAAUUAACAGAAAUAUCUUAGCUUCAAAUUUGUAUUAGUAGUUUGGAUUAGUAAAGAUCAAUCUAUUUAUUUUUACUGUAGUAAAUCCUAAUCAUCUAGUUAGUCGUAUUAAGAAAUUAAAUAGAGAAUUAAAACGUGAAGGGGAGUUGGUGGUGUGCGUGGAGCGAUUAGUAGGUGGCAUGGGACCCACGGAGGUUGGUGGGGAUUCACAUUUCACAGUGAAGUUUCUGCUAAAUACGACGGCGUUUAGCAUUCAGCACGAAGAGUAUCGACAUUGAGCGCUGCUCGUGCUCGGCAGCGUUUUGGAAACCAUGUGGAGGUUGAAGCUGACUAUUUUUGAUAAAAUAAAAAAUAAAUUCCCAUAAUUUGACUACUAAAAAUACAUUUUAGGUUAGUAAAUACAAUAGUCAUAAUCAUGAUAUUUAUGUUUUUAUAGAACUGGCCGAGAAAAAUAUUAUGGUUGGUGACUAUAGUUGGUGGAGAAGGAUUGUGGCCCCACAAUAUAUAUGUAAUUGUUUAAGAUUCAUAAGCAAAGUGAUGAGUGGUCUUGAUGUUGUUGUUUGCUGAUGAUUUGGCCACCGUAUAUUGAUUCUUAACUUAUAUUAUCUUCAUCGCUUCCCUUAAUUACAUCUUACUUUUUCCUUCUAAUCCUAUUUUGAAUUUUCUUUAUGUUUUUAUGAAGUUAAAUCUUGAAUAUUAAUGAUAAGCAAAAAAAUUUUGACGCUUGCAAAAUAAACUUUGUAUAGACAUCUUAAGAACCUCACUGUUUCUCAAGCUUGCGUUAGGACAUUCGAAGGACUAAAAGUCUAUAUCACAUACUAGUAGUCUAAGAAAUCUAUGCAUAGUGGGAUCGAUAUGGUUUUUCUCAUACCAAUCAUUGAUCCUUAAUUUUAUCAUGUAGUUCAAUGUUUAUAGAAGUCUAACCAUAGUACAUACACUACUUUAUUAAUGUAUAAGCUCUUGUAGAGGGAGUCGUGAGUAUGGUCCAAGUUCAAGAACUAGGUUGGACUUUUUGAGUACCAUUCUCUUGUAUCGGAAACUGUGUAGGUGUGUAUUUCGAGUUUAAAAAAUAAUAAAAUGUAGAAGAUGGUGAUGCUGCUCCAAACCGACAAUUCAGGGCCUGACUGGUUCAACCGCAGCGGUUGCGGUUGCGGGAGUUUGCGGAUGCGGGUGGUUGCGGUUUCUAGCGGUUUUAAGAGAUUCGUACGACUGGUUAUGCGGUUAGAAAUUGGUAAACUCCGAAAACACAAGGCAAAGAUCAAUCUCUAGAUGCCCUGGGAUAUCUAUUCGAAAAAGUUUCCAUACUUGGAGAAGAACCAAUCUUUAUUUCCUUUCAAUACACCUUUUUUAGCUUCCAUACUUGGAGAAGAACCAAUCUUUAUUUCCUUUAAAUACCCCUUAGAAAAAAAGAUAUGUUUCAUAAGAGAAAUGAAGGAUACAAAACGAGAAACACAAAACAAAUCCAAAAGAUACAUAUCUCUCAACUCUCUCAGCAAGAGGGGAAACCAUAUGCAUCAAACCUAACUUCAACUAGAUAUUUUUAGAAAGGUAAUUAAACAAAACAAAAACACAACCAUUAUAGAGAAAAAGAACUCAAGUAUCCUUCUUCAAAUCAUUCAUCUCUUUUCAAGCUUUUCUUCACUUGGCACUGGCGAGCUGGGAGCGGAUGAGUUUAGCCGCAUCAACCAUGUUCUUCAGGGCAGGCUUGACCUCUGUGUACUUACGGGUCUUGAGACCACAGUCAGGGUUAACCCAAAGGAUGUUCUGCUCAAGAACAGCAAGCAUCUUGUUCACUCUCUCUGCGAUUUCCUCAGUUGAUGGUAUUCUUGGAGAGUGGAUGUCGUAGACACCUGGACCAAUUCCAGCACCGUACUUCACUCCUUCACGGAACACAGAGAGAAGCUUCUCAUCAGAUCGGGAGUUCUCGAUGGUGAUGACAUCAGCAUCCAUGUCGAUGAUGGAGUGUAUGAUGUCAUUGAAGUGAGAGUAGCACAUGUGAGUGUGGAUCUGCAUAAUAACACCACCAUAAGAAAACGGAAAAAACACUUCACUCUAGUAUAUACGAGCGAUAUGUGUUUGAAGGAAGCAAACCUGGGUGGUGUCUUGGACUCCACAGUUGGUGAUUCUGAAGGAGUGAACAGCCCAGUCCAAGUAGAAAGCAUGCUCGGAUUUCCUGAGUGGUAAUCCUUCUCUGAGUGCAGCCUCAUCGAUCUGAAUGACAUUAAUACCACCUUUCUCAAGAUCCUCGACUUCGUCCUUGAUGGCCAGAGCGAUCUGGUAACAGGUCUCGUGCCUACAAAGUUUUUCAGAUAUAUACGUUUUAGUCAUUUUGUUGUAAGCUGUGUUUGUUUCAGACUUGAGAGUUUUUAUUUUGUGUACCUGGGCUGGUCAUUUCUGACAAAGGACCAGUUAAGAAUGGUGACAGGGCCGGUAAGCAUUCCCUUCAUUGGGCGAGAGGUCAUGCUCUGAGCCAUUGCGGACCAGAAGACGGUCAUUGCCUUGGGACGGCUCACAUCACCGUAGAUAACUGGUGGCUUCACACAACGAGAUCCAUAAGAUUGGACCCAUCCAUUUGCGGUGAAGGCAAAACCAGACAACUGCUCCCCGAAGUACUCAACCAUGUCGUUUCUCUACAAAAUUGUUGAAACGUGUCUCGUCAGAAACAUUAAAACGGACUACCAUCAAUAACUUUGAAUUGUCAGUACUCUACUUCGAGGGUUCAAGCAAUAACAUAUAACAUUAAAAAGAAAACACUCACCUCUGGCUCUCCGUGAACGAGAACAUCAAUGUCAAGUUCCUCUUGGAGGUCAACAACUUUCUUGAUCUCUUCCUUCAUGGCCUUAACAUAGUCCUCCUCGGAAACCCUAUCAAAGAGAUUCACCGUUAGUAUCAUACCGUUUAAGGAGAUACCAGGAAUAAAAUUUAGGAGACUAACUUCUUAGCCUUGUAUUCUCUGCGAACUCUCCUGAGCUCUACAGUCUGGGGGAAGGACCCAAUGGUGGUGGUUGGCAGGAUUGGGAGGUUAAGCUUCUUCUGCUGAGCAUCUAACCUAGCGCUAACAUUAGUUGCACGACGGUGGUCUGAGCCCUUCAAAGCAGCAGCCUGAGAUAACAAAUCAGAAACCAUCUCGAUCAAUAAAUGCUAAGGAGAAAUCAGUGACUGUGGAGAUGGCUGAGGUUUGCGCCAAACUUACAGCCUUCUGGACACCCUCGUUGGUGACUCUUGGGGAAGACCUCCUUGAAGCCAAAGCAGCAGCGUUGGCGGAGAAAAGGGCCUGAAAGGGAAUACAAUAUUAGCAUUCUAGUGUUUACUAAAUCAUUUACAUUGCAAAACUAUUCAAGGAUUUAAUAAAGUAGGUGGAUAAAAUUUCUACCUCAUCCUUCUGACCAGCCAAAGCCUUGGCCAGUGCGUUCACUUCAACGAUCUUCUGGGCAGCAAACGCCAACCAUGACUUGAUUUCGUCGUCAAGCUUGGUCUCGUUUACAAGAUCGACGGCGGUGUGGAGAAGAGAGCAGGAGGUUGAGACUACAAGCUUGUCUGAAUCAAUGCAGAAAGAUAUAACAGGUCAACGGUUGAAAUUUUUGUUUCUCAGUAAUCCCUUAGUAUAUUGUCGGUGACUCGGUAAAAGGAAGAUGAUUAUGGAAGCACUUAUAUUAUAUACCUUUUCCAACAACACCCUCAAGUGCCUCCAAGGUGCUGAGGGACGCAGCAAAGUCGUUGGCCCAGAUGUUCCUUCCAUCAACAACACCAGCGAAGAGGUACUUUCCCUCGGGGAAACCAGCCUUGACCAAAUCAAGGGUCUUGGUGCCACGAACCAAGUCAAAUCCAAAGGCAGUCACACCCUUCAACGAAGUCAGGGUCUUGUAUGCUUCAGCAGGGAUAUCAGCGAAGUAAGUCUCAACAAGAACAUUCAAACCAGAAAGAGUUGAUUCAAGUUCAGCAUAGGCUCCAGUGAAGGCCUGGAGUUUGUGGCCCUCAAGAUCCAUAACGAGAACAGGCUCGUCGAGCUGAAUCCAGGUGGCACCAGCAGCCUUAAGCUCGGUGAUCACUUCCCUGUAGACAAAUCAAAGUAAUAAUGUCAGUGUUGGAUUACCAAUAACAUCAAGGACAUGGAUUGAAAAGUAAAAGAAAGAAUAAAGUGGUUGCAUACUUGUAGACAGGGAGAAUUUUGGGGAGAAGAGAGAGAAGGUCAAAUGACUUCUCCACACCCUUGGCAGCCUUAGAAAGCAACAAGUAAGAGACUGGGCCAACAAGUACAGGGACGGUGUCAACACCAAGCUGCAUAAACAUCAAGCUUAUCGGAUCAGAACUUUAGAUAGAAACUACUUUUGGUGCACAAAAGACAACCAGCGUCAAACUAAUCUUUAACAACUAUUCUAUCAACCGGUUGUAUUUUGUGAGUAAGCAAGCGAGUAUAUUCUUAACGUAUCAACAUCUUCUGUGAAAACCAUUCAAUAUAUCUAAAUUCAAACACUGAAUCCACGAACCCAAGUCUAUGAUCUCCAAUAAAUAGUUAUUUAUUAGUAAAUGGAUGAUAAUAAUAAAGAAAGAUACUUACAGCCUUGGCCUCCUUGUACUCAUUCACAGCCUUGUGAGAUGCGUAAGAGAACUUAACGUCAGGGCCCAACUCAGGAACAAUGUAAUGGCUGCACCAAUUAAACAUCAUUACAUUUUUCCACAACUAAGAAAAACAAACAACGUCACUGCAAGACUGCAAGAUCAGAGUUGGAGACUCACUAGUUGGUGUCAAACCACUUGGUCAUCUCCAUGGCGGGAACAGAGGCGUUACCUCUAGCCAUGGAGAAGUAAACAUCCAAACCGAUCUCACCACUGGUGUAACCGUAUCUGGGUGGAACAGCACCGAGCAUGGCGGUGGUGUCGAGAACCUGGUCGUAGUGAGCAAAGGUGUUGCUGGGGAUGUACUUGGUCCCAGCCUCAGACAUCUGCUUCCAGAUGUUAGCCCUGAGAUCAGCGGACACCUUCUGAAGAUCCUCAGCAGUGCUCUUUCCAUCCCAGAAUGAUUCCAAUGCGAACUUGAGCUCUCUCUUAGGGCCCAUACGUGGGUAUCCAACAAUGUGUGACGCCAUUUUGAUUUCUUUUUUUUUACU